UUUGGUCGCUGGCUGCUCCAACGAAGGAGAAGGCAACCAGUGGCCUUCUCCUUCGCUGGAGAAGUCGGCGACACCA
rnacentral:pre_miRNA from 1 species